rnacentral:rRNA from 1 species
GAUGAACGCUGGCGGCGUGCCUAACACAUGCAAGUCGAGCGGAGAAUUGUUGCUUGCAACAAUUCUUAGCGGCGGACGGGUGAGUAACACGUGGGUAACCUGCCCUAAACAAAGGGAUAACAAUGAGAAAUCAUUGCUAAUACCGUAUAAGCUUACACUAUCGCAUGAUAGAGUAAGAAAAGAUUUAUCGGUUUAGGAGGGGCCCGCGUCUGAUUAGCUAGUUGGAGAGGUAACGGCUCACCAAGGCGACGAUCAGUAGCCGACCUGAGAGGGUGAUCGGCCACAUUGGGACUGAGACACGGCCCAAACUCCUACCGGAGGCAGCAGUGGGGAAUAUUGCACAAUGGAGGAAACUCUGAUGCAGCAACGCCGCGUGAAGGAAGAAGGUUUUCGGAUCGUAAACUUCUAUCUACAGGGAAGAAAAAAAUGACGGUACCUGAGGAAGAAGCCCCGGCUAACUACGUG